rnacentral:tRNA from 2 species
GCGCCUUUAGCUCAGUUGGUAGAGCGCCACGUUUACACCGUGGAUGUCAUCGGUUCGAGCCCGGUAGGGCGCACCG